rnacentral:rRNA from 1 species
UAGGGAAUCUUCNUGCGAUGGGGGCAACCCUGACCGAGCAACGCCGCGUGAGUGAAGAAGGUUUUCGGAUCGUAAAGCUCUGUUGUAAGUCAAGAACGAGUGUGAGAGUGGAAAGUUCACACUGUGACGGUAUCUUACCAGAAAGGGACGGCUAACUACGUGCCAGCAGCCGCGGUAAUACGUAGGUCCCGAGCGUUGUCCGGAUUUAUUGGGCGUAAAGCGAGCGCAGGCGGUUAGAUAAGUCUGAAGUUAAAGGCUGUGGCUUAACCAUAGUACGCUUUGGAAACUGUUUAACUUGAGUGCAAGAGGGGAGAGUGGAAUUCCAUGUGUAGCGGCGAAAUGCGUAGAUAUAUGGAGGAACACCGGUGGCGAAAGCGGCUCUCUGGCUUGUAACUGACGCUGAGGCUCGAAAGCGUGGGGAGCAAACAGGAUUAGAUACCCUGGUAGUCCACGCCGUAAACGAUGAGUGCUAGGUGUUAGACCCUUUCCGGGGUUUAGUGCCGCAGCUAACGCAUUAAGCACUCCGCCUGGGGAGUACGACCGCAAGGUUG